ACGCACGCUGGCGGCGUGCCUAAUACAUGCCAGUAGAACGCUGAAGGAGGAGCUUGCUUCUCCGGAUGAGUUGCGAACGGGUGAGUAACGCGUAGGUAACCUGCCUGGUAGCGGGGGAUAACUAUUGGAAACGAUAGCUAAUACCGCAUAACAGUAGAUAUUGCAUGAUAUCUGCUUGAAAGGUGCAAUUGCAUCACUACCAGAUGGACCUGCGUUGUAUUAGCUAGUUGGUGAGGUAACGGCUCACCAAGGCGACGAUACAUAGCCGACCUGAGAGGGUGAUCGGCCACACUGGGACUGAGACACGGCCCAGACUCCUACGGGAGGCAGCAGUAGGGAAUCUUCGGCAAUGGACGGAAGUCUGACCGAGCAACGCCGCGUGAGUGAAGAAGGUUUUCGGAUCGUAAAGCUCGGUUGUAAGAGAAGAACGAGUGUGAGAGUGGAAAGUUCACACUGUGACGGUAUCUUACCAGAAAGGGACGGCUAACUACGUG
rnacentral:rRNA from 1 species